rnacentral:lncRNA from 1 species
ACAAGGCGGGAAAUAAUACAUGAAAUAAUAAAAGGGUAAACUUUAAAUAUUAUCCAUAUGAUUUCGUACUUUCUCACUUUAGUACACUUUGGUUUAAAAUGUAUCAAUUUAAAACUCCGUGCUUUCAUUUUUCUCUUUUCAUCAGCUCUUCCGUUAUCAUUUCGUUGAAUUAUAUUAUAUACAAAAAUCUUUAGAUACCCAAUUUAGGUUUAUCAAAUACUCAUUUUAUCACCUUUUAGUUUAACUUUGUAACCGAUUUAACAAAAAAAUUAGUAGAGAAAAUAAUAAAAAAAUAAAAAUAAAAAUCACAGAGUACUAAAUUGAUACACUUUCACUACAACAAAAAUGGUGUAUAGCGACACUUUUAAAUAUUGGUACAUGUUAAAAAAAGUGCUGCUGGCUAAAUUACCGACACUUUUAAAAAGUAUUGCUAUAUGUGGGGUCGCUAGGUAUAUAGUGACAGCUUAAAAGUGUCGGUAUAACUUAAAAAGAGUGAUGCUAAUUUACCGACACUUAUUUAAGCAUUUAGCAACGACCGAAACUCUACCUCGUUGGCUGCGGUGGCGGAGGAGGAGGAGAGCGAAGGGUUUUCGUUUAGGAUUUCAGCUGAUUGAGUGAGGGGAGAAGGGGAGAUAGUAAUCGAUUUUUUCUUUUUUUUUUUCCAUGUCUGUUUGUAAUCGGGCCAAAUAGGCUGGAUGAGGUGGAUUGAAUAGAGUAAUCUUUUAUUUUUUGUUGGAUUGAGUUUUAUAUUUAGGCCUUAGUAGACUCUUUUUUAAGUUUUGAUAUAAAUAGAACACUUACACAAAAAUAUCUCAAACGUAUGUCUCUAUAAUUUAAUUAUGUUGUAGUGAUGUGGGGCCUUUUUUGGGGGGAAUUUGGUAUGGUCAAUUGA